rnacentral:rRNA from 1 species
UACGUAGGGGGCGAGCGUUGUCCGGAAUCAUUGGGCGUAAAGCGCGUGUAGGCGGCCAUCCAAGUCCGAUGUGAAAGCUCGGGGCUCAACCCCGAGUCUGCAUUGGAAACUGGCUGGCUAGAGUCCGGAAGAGGAGACUGGAAUUCCUGGUGUAGCGGUGAAAUGCGCAGAUAUCAGGAAGAACACCGGUGGCGAAGGCGGGUCUCUGGGACGGUACUGACGCUGAGACGCGAAAGCGUGGGGAGCAAACAGG